rnacentral:rRNA from 1 species
AGAUUGAACGCUGGCGGCAUGCCUAACACAUGCAAGUCGAACGGCAGCGCGGGGGCAACCCUGGCGGCGAGUGGCGGACGGGUGAGGAAUGCAUCGGAAUCUGCCCUGUUGUGGGGGAUAACGCAUCGAAAGGUGCGCUAAUACCGCAUGAGACGGAACGUGAAAGCGGGGGACCUUCGGGCCUCGCGCGAUGGGAUGAGCCGAUGUCGGAUUAGCUAGUUGGCGGGUAAAAG